rnacentral:rRNA from 1 species
UACGUAGGGUCCGAGCGUUGUCCGGAAUUAUUGGGCGUAAAGGGCUCGUAGGCGGUUCGUCACGUCGGGAGUGAAAACUCGGGGCUUAACCCCGAGCCUGCUUCCGAUACGGGCAGACUAGAGGUAGGCAGGGGAGAGCGGAACUCCUGGUGUAGCGGUGGAAUGCGCAGAUAUCAGGAAGAACACCGGUGGCGAAGGCGGCGCUCUGGGCCGGACCUGACGCUGAGGAGCGAAAGCGUGGGUAGCGAACAGG